CUUCAUCAAGGAUGCAUCAGGUUGGAGUUAUGUACUACUUUUGUCCUUGCUGAGACUACAGCUGUGUGUGCCCCAUGCAGACCCACCACCACAGACAUUUCCCCUGGAGGAAAAGAACUCAGCUUCCUGGGAAGGGUAACCUCUGCCACCUUCACUGUGAACUCACUAAGCUUUGCUCUGCAAGAAGAACAAUUAAAUGCUGAC
rnacentral:lncRNA from 1 species